rnacentral:rRNA from 1 species
GAUGAACGCUGGCGGCGUGCCUAAUACAUGCAAGUCGAGCGAACAGACGAGGAGCUUGCUCCUCUGACUUUAGCGGCGGACGGGUGAGUAACACGUGGAUAACCUACCUAUAAGACUGGGAUAACUUCGGGAAACCGGAGCUAAUACCGGAUAAUAUAUUGAACCUCAUGGUUCAAUAGUGAAAGACGGUUUUGCUGUCACUUAUAGAUGGAUCCGCGCCGCAUUAGCUAGUUGGUAAGGUAACGGCUUACCAAGGCGACGAUGCGUAGCCGACCUGAGAGGGUGAUCGGCCACACUGGAACUGAGACACGGUCCAGACUCCUACGGGAGGCAGCAGUAGGGAAUCUUCCGCAAUGGGCGAAAGCCUGACGGAGCAACGCCGCGUGAGUGAUGAAGGUCUUCGGAUCGUAAAACUCUGUUAUUAGGGAAGAACAAAUGUGUAAGUAACUAUGCACGUCUUGACGGUACCUAAUCAGAAAGCCACGGCUAACUACGUG